rnacentral:lncRNA from 1 species
GCCUCUCCAGGGCCUCAGUGGCUUGCUCCAUAGGGUGCCCUAAACACUGCCCUCUCUGCCUUCUUCCCAGCAACACUGCCUGUCUCAUCUCCCCCCAGGAUGAAGGCUGGGCAAGGGCCACAGUUGCACAGAUACCCAAAUCUGGAAGAUAUGAUGCUCUCCUCCUUUGGUCUCAGGUAGGACAUAGGACCUGGCUUUCCCACCAUCUGUGCAGAUCAGUAUCUGAUGCCUCCUUUGUUCAGGGUAUUGAUGUAAGUUAACAUCGACCAGGAAGGAGAAGAAGUUUGAAAUCAGAAAUGGAAAUCUCACAUCUUCCUCUGUCCUGGUCAAAUUUCAAGUCUGGCCUUGCUGUCCUGGUGGCAGGACCCUUGGGCAUGCCUCCCAUAGCUGCUACACUAGUCUAGCCCUGCUGGAGAUCUUUGCUGCUAGAGGGAUCGCGCCUCUGUGGCUGUGUGAGUGAUUUGGUCUCAUGGUGAACGAUUUGACAGAGGGCACAGGGCAGUGAGACUGGGCUUUCUGAAGACUCAAGUCUACCGGCCAGACCAGCUGAACCAAAGGAUCUUCUCUCUUGGCCUUCCUAAUGAACCCUUCUCCACUCUUGCCAGGCUCCCGUGACCAGCAGACUAAUUUCUGUGACCAAAAUAACCACUCAGAGUCAUCAAACAACCAGUGACCAACCAGCAACGGACUAGCAAUUUGUUCUAUGACCACACUGUUUAGUAUGUUUAGAUCUUGCCUCAAGGUAGCAUUUUGCCAUUCUGUGGAUCAGCAGUCCCCAGCCUUUUUGGCACCAGGGACUGGUUUCGUGGAAGACAAUUUUUCCACGAACCAGGGAGCGGGGUAUGGUUUCGGGAUGAUUCAAGUGCAUUACAUUUAUUGUGCAUUUUAUUUCUAUUAUUAUUAAAUUGUAAUAUAUAAUAAAAUAAUUAUACAACUCACCGUAAUGUAGAGGGAGUGGGAGCCCUGAGCUUGUUUUCCUGUAACUAGACAGUUCUAUCUGGGGGUAUGGGAGACAAUGACAGAUCAUCAGUCAUUAGAUUCUCAUAAGGAGUGUGCAAUCUAGAUCCCUCACAUGUGCAGUUCACAAUAGGGUUCGUGCUCCUAUGAGAAUUUAAUGCCGCUGCUGAUCUGACAGGAGGCCGAGCUCAAGUGGUAAUGCCAGCAAUGGGGAACGGUUGUAAAUACAGAUGAAGCUUUGCUCACUGGCCCACUGCUCACCUCCUGCUGUGCGGCCUGGUUCCUAACAGUCUAUGGACUGGUACCAGUUCCUGGCCCUGCUGUGGAUGACUUCAGAAAAAUCACAACUUCAUUACAAAAAUACAAGUUUUAUAAAAUAUUUUUUCAGAUUACAAAAGUAAUAUAAAUGUAUUAUUAAAAAUUGGAAAAUGUAGAAGGAAUAAAGAAAGAAAUUAAAUCACCCAUAAUUCUAACUCUUAGUAAUAGCCUCCAUUAACACAGUCAUUUUUCCUUGCAAUUAAUGGUUCCUUCUAAUCUUUUCUCUAUGCACAGAUAUAUGAAUUACCUUAUUUAUUUAUUUAUUUUUUGAAACAGAGUCUUGCCCUGUCGCUGAGGCUGGAGUGCAGUGGUGUGAUCUUGGUUCACUGCAAACUUCACCUUCCAGGUUCAAGUGACUCUUGUGCCUCAGCCUCCUGAGUAGCUGGGAUUACAGAUGUGCAUCACUAUGCCUAGCUAAUUUUUGUAUUUUUAGUAGAGAUAGGGUUUCAUCAUCUUGGCCAAGCUGGUCUCGAACUCCUGGUCUCUAGUAAUCUGCCCACCUUGGCCUCCCAAAGUGCUGGAAUUACAGGCAUGAGCCACUGCGCCCAGCCCCAUGUGUAUUUUCUAUUCUCAUUUAUUCCUUAACAUUAUAUGAUUAGCAUUUCCUAUAUCACUCAGUAUUCUUUAAAAACUAUGACCGGUAAUGAUUGCAUAAAAUUCCACUGUAAAUGAUGAACUAUUAUUAUAUAACUAUUCUCCUAGUAUCAGACAUUUAAGGUGUUUUCAAGGAGAAACUGGUUUUAUAUAACCUUCUGAUCAAAGUAUACAACAGCACCUAUGAAGUGUUCUUACAAAAAAAACUGAUCCAGAACCUGAUUAAAUCUAUAGAUUGAAUUUCCAAAUUUGUAGAAAAUAUAAGUGACAGAGGAACAUGUUAGUGACACUUUGAGGCUGCAACCAAAAAAAUUCAGAUUCUGGGAAACUCUAUGGGACAAAUAAACAAGUUUUUCAUCAGAUAAACUGCUGAGGGAAAGAGAUGAGGGGAAGGGGACCUAUAGAUGAAAAGUGUUAAGAAACAUAUUGACUAAUUGCAAUGUAUGAAUAUUGGAUCCAUAUUCAAACAAACUUAAAAAAAUUUGAGACAAAUUAUUGGAUGACAUUAAGAGAUCAUUAAUUUUUAGAAGUGAUGAGUAUUGUAGUUAUGUUUUUAAAAACCAAUCUUUAUCUUUUAAAGAUUCAUACUGAAAUCAUUAUGUUUGAAUGGGUAUAUGUGGGAUUUGUUUCAAAAUAAUGAGGUAGCGGUAGGGAAUAGUGUGUGGUAACAUAGAUGGAUGAAUAUUGGCUUAAUUGUUCAAGCUGAGUGAUGAGUACAUGGGAUUUCAUUUUACUAUCUGUUUAUUUUGGUACUUUUUUUUUUUUGAGACAGGAUCUUGCUCUGUUGCCCAAGCAGAAGUGCAGUGGCAUGAUCUCAGCUCACUGUAAGAUCACAUGAUCUUGCAGCUCACUGCAAGAGCCUCCUGGGCUCAAAUGAUCCUCCUGCCUCAGCCUCCUGAGCAGCUGGGACUACAGGCAUGCAUCACCACACCCAGCUAAUUUUUGUAUAUUUUGUAGAGGGAGGUUUCAUCAUAUCACCCAGGGCUGGUCUCAAACUCCUGGACUCAAGCAAUCUACCUGCCUAAGCCUCCCAAAGUGCUGGUAUUACAGGUGUGAGCCACUGUGCCCAGCCGGUACAUGUUUUAUAUUUGCCACAAUUAAAACUUAGAAAAGAAACAAAGGAAAAGCCAGCAUUUCUGAUAGCCAUGUGCUGAGCUGAGCUGUGGAAGAAAGAGUCCUGAGUAAGAUAGACCUCACUCUAAUCCCAACUCUCACAUUAACUGGCUGUGUGUCUUUGAGCUGUUUACCUAACCUCUCUGAGCCUCAGAGCCCUCACUUCUAAAACUGAUAUUAUAAAGCCUGCCUCACAAGGUUGUUGUGAGGAGAAAACAUAUUUUCUGGGAAAGGGCAUGCAAAGCUAAGGAAUGCUGGAUAUUUUAUGUUAAGGUAUGAGUAAAGCGUAGGGCUGAGGAACAAAGAGGAUAUGCAUACCUCCCCUCCUCAGGGAGUUCAGGCUCCCCAUUUUUUGCUGGUUCCUCGAGAGUGAGGUUUUCAUAGAAAAAUACUCUGGUGCACCAUUUUAAUUUUCUUGUCAUUUCUUUUAUUAUAUAUUUUUGAGUUGUUUUUCUAGUGGUUUCCCUGAAGAUUACCAUUAGCAACUUAGUUUAUAACAAUCUAGUUCAAAUUAAUACCAAUUUAAUUCCGAUAGUACACAAAACUUUGCUCCUAUUUGGCUCUGUACCUCUCUCUCCUUUAUGCUGCUAUUAACACAAAUUAUAUCUUUAUACAUUUUUCCCAUUGACAUAGAUUUAUCGUUAAUGCUUUAUGAAUUUUUUUAAUCAAAUAAGAAAAAAUACGUUUAUACUGUCUUUUAUGUUUACCUACGUAGUUACGUUUACUGGUGGUUUUAUUUCUUCAUGUGGAUUCAAGUUACUAUCUAGUGUAUUUUCAAUUUAGCCUGAAGGACCUCCUUGGUAUUUCUUUUAGGUUGGAUCUGCUUAGUGACAAAUUCUCUCAGUUUUUGUUUAUCUAGAAAUGUCUUAAUUCCUCCAACAUUUUUGAAGACCAGUUUUGCUGGAUAUAGAAUUCUUGGUUGACACUUUUUUCCCUUCAGCGCUUUGACUAUGCCAUCUCACUGUCUUCUAGCCUCUCUGGUUUCUGAUGAAAAAUCAGCUGUGAGCCUUAUUGAGCAUUCUUUGUAUUGAAUGAGUUACUUUUAUCUUGUUGCUUUCAAGAAUCCCUCUUUGAUGAUGGUCACCAGAGGCUGUGAACAGUAGUCAGGGCAGGGGUGAACAGGGAUGGGUAAUGGGUACAAAAAUGUAGUUAGAUAGAAUCAAUAAGAUCUAGUAUUUGACAGCACAGCAGGAUGACUACAGUCAACAAUAAUUUAUAGUACAUUAAAAAAUAACAAAAAGUAUAAUUGGAAUGUUUGUAGCAAAAAAACAUGAUAAAUGCUUGAGGUGAUGGAUAUCCCAUUUACCCUGAUGUGAUCAUUAUGCAUUGUAUGCCUGUAUCAAAAUAUCUCAUGUAUCCCAAAAAUAUAUACACCUACUAUGUACCCACAAAAAUUAAAAAUUAAAAAAAUAUUCCCUCU